UGGUGAACCAGCGGAGGGAUCAUUACAGAGUUGAAAGACUCCCCAUACCAUCGCGAACGUUACCCUUAACCGUUGCUUCGGCGGGCGGUCUCCUCUCCCCCCCCCUUCUGGGGGCGGGUUGGGAAGCCCCUCGGCCCUCCCUUUCCCUUCGCGGGGUUGGGGCGGGGCGCCCGCCGGAGGUCACGCAAACUCUUGAUACCUGAAACGGCCUCUCUGAGUAUUCUGUACUGAAUUAAGUCAAAACUUUCAACAACGGAUCUCUUGGUUCUGG
rnacentral:misc_RNA from 1 species